rnacentral:misc_RNA from 1 species
GCUGAAGAACGCAGCGAAAUGCGAUACUUGGUGUGAAUUGCAGAAUCCCGUGAACCAUCGAGUCUUUGAACGCAAGUUGCGCCCGAAGCCAUCAGGUUGAGGGCACGUCUGCCUGGGCGUCACAUAUCGUUGCCCAAUGCCUAUUGCAGUGCAAUAGGAAUUUCUAGGGCGAAUGAUGGCUUCCCGUGAGCGUUGUUGCCUCGCGGUUGGUUGAAAAUCGAGUCCUUGGUAGGGUGUGCCAUGGUAGAUGGUGGUCGAGUUAGAACGAUACCGAUCAUGUGCAUGCUCCCCAAAAUAUGGCCUCUAUGACCCACACGCGUCUUUUGACGCUCAUGACGAGACCUCAGGUCAGGCGGGGCUACCCGCUGAAUUUAAGCAUAUCAAUAAGCGGAGGA